UUUUAUUUUAAAAAAAUAUCUACUGAAUUAAUAAAACAAUAUCCAAGACAAGGACCUGGGGCUGCCCAAAACACUUCGAAAACAACAAUCAUAAACAGAAAUUAAAUCUAGCCCAGUAUUUUAGACCUCUUCAACAAGCAUAAAAAAAGGAAUUCUAGAAAUAUCUAAAAACCAAAUGUAUAUUGAGAAACAAAUUUCAGGGGAAAAACCUUUCAUUUCCUAAACGAGCAUGAAACAGAUCAUCAGAACUCUGCUUCCCCUUUCAUCUACAACUGUGGUUUUUCAUUCUGGGCCUCUAUCCAUCGGCGAUCAACUUCCACCAUCGCCUCUGCAAACUCCGGCACAUCGUUCAUCAGGAAAAUCUCUGUUCUUUGCUUAAUCCCUUCAUUUGCUAACUGUUGUGCUGCUCCAUUGGCCGGUCUCUGCACAUGAUUUAAGGUAUAAAACCGGAAUUCCUUGCUCAAAUUGUUCACAUCUUCAAUAUAUGUUGAGAUUUCAAUCUCAUUUCUACUUGCUUUUUAUCACAAUAAGAAAGUCCCCUUCAACUUCAAGACUUCUGGUAUUCAGAUCUAAGCACAUCUUCAAGGCCAUAGCACAGGCCACUACUUCAGCCGUAAUAUUCUUGUGAAAAGUAAUUUUUGAAGCUAUUACCCUUCCUCUUGAAUCCCUUAACAAAAUACUAGAACAUAAACUCUCUUCAUUUUUCCUAUAAGUAGCAUUGAAAUUGACUUUUACACAUGCGUUUCUCGGACUUUUCCACCAUUUCAUGGCUCCACAUUUCUUAGGUAAAAUUCUUCCCAAGUCAUCCAACUCUCUAAUGUAAUUCUUAAUAAAAUUCACAGUAAAUAGCUCAUCUUGACUGCCCCUUUCAUGCACCCAUUUAUUUCUUUUCAUCUAAAUUGCCUAUAAAGCACACACAAAUAAUCGACAUUAACUUUGUGAAUAACGUUCAAAAAUGUAAGCAAUCCAGUCUCUGUGGCUAGUAUUUUCCAAUUUUUGUGGCUAUUUGAAGCUUAAAUUUUCCUAGACCUCUGUUGUAAAUCUACAGUCUUGAAUCACAUGUAAGACUAUUUCUGCUUCUUCAUCGCAUCGAAGGUAACACGCCGUGCUCAUCAGUCUCUUGUAAUGUAGGUUGUUGAAAGUAGGAAUAAAAUUUCAAGUUAUACGCCACAUUUUAAUCAUGAUUUUUGGUGGCACAUUUAAUAGCCAAUUUUUUUUUUUUUUGUAAAGAUUACCUUUUAUAUCUUGUUCCUAUCUAGCAGUAGGGUUUGAAAGGUCUUGUAUUAUGAGCUUGUAACCACUACGAACAGAAUAUUCUCCAGACGCUUCACCUCUCCAUGCUAUGUGAUCAUUGUUUAGGCAUCGUAGCAAAGGAAUUUUGAGAAUCCUUUCGGCAUCCCUUUCACUAAAGGUACUGAGGAUGGUAUCAAUUUUCCAUAUUCUAGUAUUAGGAUCUACAAAAUCUUCAACUAAUCGCACAUCUUGAAUACGAAUCCCAUCCUGAAUUUUUUAGUUCUUUGCUUUCGGUACCCAAGCAUCAUCCAGAAUUAAAAUGGAGGUCCCUAUACCCACUUUCCAGCAUAGUCCCGCUUGAAGGAGCCCUUUCGUAGCCCAUACACUUUGCCAAGUAUAGGAAGGUAAAUUACCUAAACUUGCAUUAAUGAAAUCUUUUAACGGGUAAUUUUUGGAUUUUAACGUUCUUGCUAACAAGGAAUUCGGACAAAAAAUUAAACAUCAUUGCUUUGCUAAUAACAUUAAAUUGAACUUGGUUAAACUUCGAAAGCCGAGCCCACCAUUCUCUUUUAAUUUGCACAUUGUUUCCAAUCACACUAAUGUAACCCACGUUUUCCAUGACUUUUCUACCACCAAAACUUCCCCGUAAGGUUUUCCAUUUCCACACAAAGAGAUUUUGGGAGAAGAAAACAAGAUAUAGAAUACGUCGGAAUUGAUUGCAAAACAAAUUUUAUAAAUACUCCUUUUCAUCCCUGCAAAAGAAAUCUUAUACUCCAACUUUCAAUUUUUUGCUUGAUACAAUUUUUAAUAUUUUGAAAGGCCCUUCCUUUUGUCCUUCCCACCAUAUUUGAAAACCCUAAUUUUUUUUAGGAUUAUUUAAACUUCAGACUCUUAAAAUGUUUUCCACCAGUUGCCUUUCCCGAUUACUAACAUUUGAGCUAUAGAAACUUGUUGACUUCUCGAAAUUAACACAUUGAUCUUUGCGCCUUUUAUACUCCUUGUCGAAACCAUUUUUUGAAAACAAAAAUUUAGUUGUCGACUUUAAAAAAUUUGAAGCCGUCAUCGAUCUUUUAUUGAAGUGUGAUCAGUUCACCUUAAAAAUAAUUUUUGCCUACAAAACUUGAGAAAAUAAGUUCGGAAGUCAGUUACGCACGAGGAAGGGUUAGUUCCUUCGUAACGCAAAAAAAUGGUACCAAAUUGAUUAUUUUAAUGUCUUAGUGUCGAGGAUUAAAAAGACUUUUUUUAAAAAAAACUCAAAUGAUGAAAUCUGAAAAGGAUAAUCAAAUGUUUAAGUCAAAAGAAGAAAUCGAGACCUAAUACGUUAGGGUACAAUUUCUCAAAAUCCCCAAACUUUGAAUAUCUCUUUUAUUUUAGGGAAAAUUUUCAUCUCGAAAAAACAAUAUGUCAUACCCAAUGCGUUAGGACAUAACAUGUUGAAUUCCCGAAAAUGAUUUUUGUUUAUGCGUUUUGUAAAAGAAUAUUCUCGAUUAUUUAGGAUUAAUAAAGAAAAUCGAAACUCAAUACGUUAGGGCUUAAUUUCCUCGAAAAUUUUGAAUAUCGAAUAUUGCGUUAUUUUAAAAGCCUUUAACAAAAUCAAAAUAUAUAUUUAAAAGAUAUGUUUAAAAAAAUGUGAAUGUACAAUCAUGAAAUCAAUACUUUAAUUUAAAUUAUACAUGUAUUUGUGUUAUAAAAUGUCAAUGCAUGUAUGCAUAUACGUACACAAAAGUUAUGAAAAUAAAAUAAUAAUGUAUUUACAAAAAAUGAAAAAAAUGUAUAAGUAUAAUAUAUUAGUAAAUUAUGAAAACAUGAAUAUAUAUAUAUAUAUGUAUAUAAUAAAAAAUUUAUAAUAAUUUCAAAUAGUGUAUAAAUAUAUAUCAUAAAAAAUGUAUAUAUAUGUAUGGACUUUAAAAUAUGGAAAAUGUAUAAACAUUAUAAAAUGUAAAUGUAUAUAUAUAAAUAUAAAAGCUAUGCAAAUAAAAUAAUAACGAAAUAUAUUUUUAAAAAAUAUGUAUGUGCAUUCGAAAAACAUUUAAUAUAUAUACAUAUAUAUUAUAAAGAACAUAUGCAUGCGUAUAUGUAUAGGUAUAAUAAUAGUAACAAUAAUAAUAAUGAUAAUAACAAAAAUAACAGCAGCUUAAUAACAAAUAUAAUAUUAACAAACUAAUAUUUAAUCUAAUUUGUAAAAGCAAAUACAAUGGACUAAAUUGAAACCAAAACGGGAUUGAAAAAACAAAAGCAAAUUAAAAUAAAGGGCAAAUUCGCAAAGUGCGCGCAACUGGGAGGGCCAAUCGGAAAUUUACCCAAACCUCUCAAACGCUGCAUUUAAAAGAGGUUAAAAUAAUAAAAUUGGAAACCAAAGGGGAAAAUUCAAAAAAAAUUAGAAACAAAUUAAAGCAAUAAAACAAAUCAAGAGGAUCAAAAGCGCAAAUAUCCCAUUGGGAUAAAACAUGCGGGCCGCAUGAAGAGGGAAAGAAAAGCUGCUCCAUUUUCCCCCUUUUUCAUUUUCUCUUUGUAUUUUCUACUAUUAUCUGUUCGUGGUCGAUUUGUUACAGGUACGUGUGUGUGCGGUGUGCGCGGAGUGCUGAAUGUGGGUAGUUGCUACGAUGUGAGUAGUUGUUACGGCGUUCGCGGAGGCAUGCAAGGGAUCUUUGCUGACGUACGGCGCUGGGGAAAAGGGCUAGGGUUUUUCGGAUGUGUGCUGUUAGGGCUAAGCAUUUGAGCCGUUUGUAUUGGGUCAUUGGGGUUAGGUUGGUGGGCUAAAUGUUAG
rnacentral:lncRNA from 1 species